rnacentral:rRNA from 1 species
CCUGAGAAUUGCGGUGGUCCCACCUGACCCCAUGCCGAACUCAGAAGUGAAACGCCGUAGCGCCGAUGGUAGUGUGGGGUCUCCCCAUGCGAGAGUAGGGAACUGCCAGGC